rnacentral:rRNA from 1 species
UACGUAGGGGGCUAGCGUUGUCCGGAUUUAUUGGGCGUAAAGAGCGUGUAGGCGGCCAGGUAGGUCUGCUGUGAAAACUCGAGGCUCAACCUCGAGACGUCGGCGGAAACCAUCUGGCUAGAGUCCGGAAGAGGAGAGUGGAAUUCCCGGUGUAGCGGUGAAAUGCGCAGAUAUCAGGAGGAACACCAAUUGCGAAGGCAGCUCGCUGGGACGUAACUGACGCUGAGACGCGAAAGCGUGGGGAGCAAACAGG